AUCAAUGCUGUCGUCUUGUGCCAAGUGAACCCAGAGGCUGACAUCUGGUGGGCUGGGGCAGAGGAAGGGAGUGUUGCACAAAACUCUUGGGUUUUCUGCCUGUUUUCUCAGCCUGCCACACCUGUGAGACUCAUGAUCUUCUGCAACUUUAGUCAUAGGCAAAACUUUACUCUUUCCAUUCGCAGAGAAGACAGCAAACUCUCCCCUGCCCCUGUUCUGCGAGAGACCCACAACUCUUUGCCCCAGCUGAAACGGUGUCAUGUUUACUGCAUGCCCAGCGAGCAUGGUGCAGAGGCCUGGAACUCCGGACGGUACAGGUGCUUGUGAGUCAGCGUCGGCUGCCGCGCGGGAGCUGCACGGGAACAAUGCCCGACUCACAAAGCUCCCUUUAUGCUGCCGCUUCCCACCGUUUCUGGUUUGCUGAGAUAAGUAUCUGGACUAUCUGGUUACAGCUCAGGCUGUUAGGCUUUCAGAAUUGAUCUGAAUACAGUGGUGGGGGGAAUUUUUCUUCAAGGCUAAAUGGUUUGCGCGGGGGGGGUGAGUUGCAAGAUAAUAGUUUAAUUAUGAAUGGCUUGUGUUUUUCACCCUGUUGCUUUGCUUAAGCUGGUAGCAAUAUCUGAAGAUGAGGGAAAAUCCAUUUGUUGAGCCUUUGCUCCAGCACAUACAAAAGGUGGGUUUGUUCCAGGGACUCAGAAUGUGAGAGAGAAUGAACACUGGGAGAGCAUACAAAGUGGGGCUCUUAAGCCGCUAUCGACAAAGGAGGCACAAGGCUACCCCCAGCCGGUUACCUGGCGAUAGUUGUGUGUAGUGGUACCUGCUGGGACAGGGAGCAGGAAGGAGCCGAGAUGCCGUGAUGGGAGGUGCAGUAGACAGGAGAUAGCUAGACGGAGCAGACGGGUUCAGAGCACAUUGGGGCGAAGGGGAGAGAACAGAAUGAAAAGAGGAGACAGCAGCUGUGGAAUGAGGCAGAAACCUUGGUUCCACAGGCGGGGGGUUUGGCUGGAGAGUGGUGUGUGUCCCCUUGGCUCCUCGUGUCCUGCCCCGCGUGGAGUCAUUUACACCUAGGCAGAGUGGGUGUGAACUACGGCUGUUCUGGGUUGGCGGCAUGUCACCCCACUCGGGGCUUGCUCUGCAUGGGUUUAAAUGGCGACCCAGGAUGCAGGCCAGAGCCAGGCCCUGGUGCCUCUCUUUUCUAACACAUCGUUUGUCAAAUCAUUUCCGAAAACAACAGAAAAUCUCCCCACUGCUCCCUGAUCGCAGCAGCUGGCGGCCAGGCACGAAGGGAAGGGAAACAUGCAGGAAGGAUUUCAGAGUAGCAGCCGUGUUAGUCUGUAUCCGCAAAAAGAAAAGGAGUACUUGUGGCACCUUAGAGACUAACCAAUUUAUUUGAGCAUAAGCUUUCGUGAGCUACAGCUCACUUCAUCGGAUCCAGGAAGGAGUUCAGCAUAACAGCACUUAAGGAAAAUACUGUAAACCCCUCUUGAAAUACCCAUCAAACACAAUUAGCAGGGCACUGAUAUACCUAAACAACUGGCAUGUGUCUCCUUUUAUGCUUUGCUGGAUACCUUCCAAGCUGAUAAUUACACUGUGCUGGGUUUCGAGAUGAGUGGCUGCAAGUGUCUCUUCUGGAAGGGGUUCAGGAACGGAUAGCCUAGCAAUGCAGACCCUGCACUUCUCAGUAUAGCUGUCCUUUGUGGCUGGACCCUCCUGGGGACUUUUCUAGAGAUGGAACCUCCUGUCCAGUGGCUGGACCAGCUGUAUGUGUGUGUCGGGACUGCUGCCAGCAGGAUUUCAUCUGGACCCACAUGCCUGUAGGAUGCUGCUCCACCAGGUGAGACCAGAGGGAGCCUUCUCUGGGCAAGAUGGCAGCAGCUGGAAGCCACUGAAGCUGCAGCUCUAAUAUGGACUUGGCCAUAGCUCCAAAGCAGUGAGAUCACAAACAACAAUGCGAUUGAUGGGGUGAAGUAACCCUGUGUGAGAUCAUGACUGUCCCUAGCGCGCUCCAGGCUCAGCGUCAGGGAGCAUGCUGUGAACUGGAGCAAAGGCUCCAGGAUUCUCCCUCCUCUCCCGUAGCGCGCGUGUGAUGUCCUGACCUGCAGAACUGUCCUUGGUGGGGACAGCCUGGUACCCUUGCUCACAAAUAGCGUUUUUCCUGGCUUGUACCUCUACGUGGCGGGGAGACUGAUUGCCUUUGGGCUGGUGGAGGGCUCAUGGUGCCUUCGCUUGUGGAGUGGCCUGGCUCACUCCCUGGGGUUCUGGGAGCGGAUGGUCAGGUUUGGGCUCUGAUCCAGCCCCUAGCAGUGGCAAAGAUCUUGUGUGGUGGGUGAGUGCUGAGCUUGUGUAGAGUGGCGCACCCCAGCACCUGCUUUAUUGCAGAGGUCCCUGCAGGUAGGGGUGCAAGGAAUAAACGUCUGUCAGACAGGAGCCAAUGAAUCGCCGUCGGGAGCGCCUCUGCUGUGGCUUCUUGUGCCUGCUCAUGCCGGUGCAUGAUGCUCGGGAGGAAGGAGCACCACCUGCUAGUGCUCCAGGCUACGUAUGUGGGGUUCCUUCCUGAUAACCGGAGGCAGGCAGUUUGUGGCCUGAAGCAUGAAGGCUGGUAAAAGCCCGUGGAACAUGCGCGCUUGCUCAGCGUAGCGGUUUCUCUGAAACAUGGCAAGUGUCUCCUUCCCAGACUCUUUCAAUCCUUCCAAACAGUUUGUCUCCAUGAAUCCCUUGCAGUGACUACGUGCUGCUGCAAGGACGUCCCCUUUGUGCUGCAGACAAUGUUGUCGGUGCAUCCUCGUCGCUUGCUGCCUUUCCAUGGCUCGUUUGGCUCUUGCAGCUCCAAGACCCCCAUCUAUUAUUCCUCCCACAUCCCAUUAUCUCCUUCUUCCAUUCUCUGAAGGCUGGAAGCUGCAGAGUUCAGCUGUGAGCUGUGGAUGCCGUCUGAGUGCGGUGUCUCAUCUUGCACAUUUGGGUAAGUCAGCCAUGGAAUUAUCCUAUAAUGUGGAAAUCAUACAAUUUCUCUCUGAUCUUCCCUGAGCUUAGCAUUUCAUCUCGCUUAUACCAAAUGCAGCAUGACUAAGUAGGCAAGAAAGGGAUUUGAGCCCUUUUGUUACUUAAAAUGUGAAUUAGACGUUCCUGAGGGAAGUUUGUGUUGCAUUUGCAAGUUAAAAAUGCAUCAAUUAUCUGUACAUGGACCCUUCUAACGUGAUGGUGAGAGAGGUCGCGGUGGAGCUGGCGGCCGGGGACACGCUGCAAGGAGGGGUAACCUGCUCAGCACAUUGCACAUUCCCUGCUACUCUGGGCUAACGUGCGUCUGUCCAUCCCUUAUGAGCUGCACAUGCCAGAGCACUGCAGACAGGCCAGGAACCCUGCCCAGCCUCCCUGCAGCCGCUGCGUCUCUCAUGCUCAGCUUCUCCCAGGAGAUUUAUCCCUCUUGGGUCCUGGCAGAUAAACGAUGACGUAGGGACAGACAGGAAAAGCAGCAGUGGGAAGGCCGAGGUUCUAACGUAGGGCUCCGUCCCCAUGCCGGGCAGCCUGCCCGUGGAGCGGCUAUCCCAGAUGACAGCUCACUGGGAGGAUGGCACAUGCAGGCAGGGAAGAGCCUUGGCGCCCUCCAUGGGACUGUGCAACCCAGCUGUUAACCCCGCUGCAUGCAGCAGCACUGGGAGUUUGGAGGAGACGCACAAAUGCUGUCCCAGCCGUUGGCAUUAAACUACAGUGGAACACGGUCUAUGUCGGUGAAUAUUUCUCUCUCACACACUGAUUUACCUCUUCAGGCAGCUGUACAAAUAUUAACUAACUCUCACAUCUCGGUCAGCUAAGCAGGGCGUUAGUCCUAUUUUAGGGAAGGGGAAACUGAGGUAGCAGGGGAAGUGACUUGUCUAGCGCAAGAGAACAAGUCAGUGUCAGAGGCAGGACUGGAACCCAGGAGUCCUAGCUCCCAGGGCUGUGGCCAGGCCACAUGUGGCUCUGCCAGAAGAGUGGCACAAUCCAGGUAAACUGCUUCCCUCCCUCAUGCCUCCUCCUUUCCCUGCGCUUGUCCUGUGUGCUGUGAGUCCCCAUAUUCAGAGGACACUGACCCAGCAGCGGGGCUGAGAUGUGAACAAGUGGCACGUCUCCUCAGGUGCAUUGGUGUGUAUGCUCCGUUUUGUGCAAACCCUAGAGGAGAUUGGGGCAAGGCCUGGCUGGAAAUCUGGGCUACCACCACAGCAGAGAGCAGUUCUGAAGUAAUGGCUGCAAUGUAGAAUCAUUCCGAUGUUCGGGUUUAUCAGUAACGGCCAGGGCCUGCUUUCCCCCCAUGUGCUGCUCCUGCCAGUGCCCCCAGACUGUUUGGUUGAUUUACGAAGAAAAAGAAAACUCUUGUAAAGAAGGUAUUAAAGGGGAAGCCAUCUAUCUGCUUUAUGUAGUCGGUUCUAAUCUGAGAAUCUAAAUGGAUUAUGAACAUGAGAUGCCCGACGUGGUCUGAGGAGAUAAGGCCAGAUAAGACCACACACAUAAAGAGGCAAUUAGUUAUUGGAUUACGGGUUUUUUCAUGUACAUAACUUGGUAGGUAGGGAAAAACUCCACCACUUUUUCUGUCUGCUGAUUGGCAAUGGCCGAUGGGACCGAGGUGUGUGCCAUGAGCCGUAAGAGCGGGCACCUGGAGAUGUUCAUGUAAAGCAGAGUCCGUGCUGGGCCGGGCUGCAUGGGUAAGGCAUAGCCCGGAGGAGCUGUGCUGCUGGUUGAGGUUGGCUGAGCCUCUGGUGCUACCAGGCCCCAGGGGCUGGUGUUCAGGUGACAUCGAUGGGGAGCCCUGACUCCAAAACACGUGGUCCCCUUGCGAGCCCAAGGCUGCUGGCAUUUUCUGCGCAGAGCCUGGCUUGCUCCUGGAGCGGCCAGUGUGUAAGGGAGGGUGGGUCUGUACACGAGGGCCUUUGCUUUCUGCUCCUCUCCCCGUGGGGACUGUGCUCUGUGCUCCGGGCUGGACACUGCCGCGAGCCGUGCUGACAGGGGAGGCGCAUCAAUCGCAAACUGAUCAGCUCCACCCCGCAGAAGGGUGAGGACAUGGGGGCCCCCAUCACGCUCUGAUGCUUGUAGCCCACAGACGGGGCAGCUCCCUCAGAGCCAAAGCUUGCAAUGGGGGUUGGAUUGGGGACUUUCAUCACUGUGCAGCAUAGCAGCCCGUUCCAGGGGCCAGCUCCUGCAGUCCCUGGUUCUGGGGCUGAGUAAGAGUUUGUAGGGUCAGGCCCAGGCUUUGCUUCUUCUGUUCCAGCUCCCUGCUAGAGAGCUCCAUCUAAGACAUUUCACUGACAUGUCUAUAACAAGGGCCCCACCGCUAAGCAGAGGUUAGAACAACCUGCUGCUGGCUCUUAGCCCUCCCUCAUUUUCUCUUGGCUAGAAAUUGGAUGAAUGCAGUGCUUAAAGGCACUCUAACUUGCAGUAUAAAUUGCAUUGCCUUAUACUGCAAAAGGUCAAGCCGGAUGACUUGAUGAAAUGGAUUGACCUACUGAACAGCACUUCAGUCUAUUUAAGGACAACCAAUCGCAGCAAGACAGAAUGGAGAAGUUGACCUAGAGAGAGGGGAAAAUAUGAAUGAAUAAAUAUUAUUUCCUGCCCAUGGAUUAUCCAUCCUGGGUGGAUUUGCAAACACAGCUAAUGUACACCAAAGCCACGCGUUAUCUGCACAGGUUCCUGCAUUCUUUCCUCAUGCACCAAGUUAAUUCCUGUUGGCUUUCCCCAGCUUUAACAUAAGACUGUAAGAAUGGCCAUCCUCGGUCAAGACCAAAGGUCCAUCUAGCCCAAAAUCCAGUCUGCUGACAGUGGCCAGUGCCAGGUGCCCCAGAGGGAAGGAACAGAGCAGGUAACUGUCAAAUGAUCCAUCCCCUGUCGGCCAACGGCCAACCUAUGGCCUUCACUGUGUUCGUCUCCUCCACUCCACUGUGGGGGUCACUAUAGCUCUUGUUAAAGGUGUUUCUGGCCCUACCAGCCCCUAAUAUGCAAGAGAGAAAUGAAAACGCCUUGUGCAGGUUACACUUUCUAAUACCAGGCCCCAAACCGUAUGGCUGCUCUUGGAACGGCAUGGGCCUGGACGGUGAGCAGAGGGGCUCAGGAGCAGCUGACACAGGGAGUGGCAGCAGGUGUGGGAGGAAGUGGUUGAAUCCCCACAGGAUCCCCUUUGCUGGAGCUCCGAGGGAGGGGACAUGGGCAGGAUAGGAGGGGCAGGGCAUCUGUCUCUCUCUCUUUCUGGCACCAUCCUUAACGGAUACCUCUGUCAACAGGCAACACUUGCUUCAGCAUUAACUUCCGCUGGGCUCCCCGGCAGGUGAUACCCUACAGCUGCUCAAGAGACACAGCACACAGCAACAAUUGUUCAGAGGUGCUGAUCGCCCACUGCUCCUCUUGGGCUUCAGGUGGAGUUGUGGGGCUGGGUACCUCUGGAAAGCAGGGGCUGGCAGCCUGUGCCCUUGGCUACUUCCUUCUCCUAAUGUGGGAGGAUCACUGGGAAGCUCUGUGAGAUCACCUUUGGGAAGUUGGAGUUGCCUGGUCUCUCUGUGGGUUUCUCCAUGGAGAAGAGGUAACUAAGUAGGACUUACUGGUAACCACCUUGUAGCUGCUAAAUAUGCAUAGGCUCUGGAAUGCAACAGGGCAAUUACAGAGCUCUGCAAGGGCUGCAAAAAUAUCCAUGAACUGUUGGGUUGAAUAAAACCAUUAACUUGGUUCAAAUUGUAUUUGAGCCCUAACGUCCACACCAGGAGAGUUCUUCUCAGAACAGCAAUCCUGGGUUGAGCAAGCGUGUAUGAAUAUCUAGUCACAUGGAGUAUUUGUGCCUGACUUGUUCAUGGGACCGUCAAAGCUCCUUGCAGGUUUUAAUCAUCUGUCAAUCAGAUCAGGGAGCAUAAAAAUACCAUGUGACUUACAUGACCAGUCACACAGCAUGCAUAGCAGAAUGCUCAAAGCAAUCGUUACAAUGCAGAGUUCAUGAGCCAUCAAUGGGCUGAAAUACGUUCUUAUGACCCAUUUUUGAAUAAAACACACAGACUUUGAAAUUGAAGUCUACUUGUGCAUAAUUAGCCCUAUUGCUCUUUGCAAAAUUUGUGGUUUAAAUUAUUCCCUGCAAAUAGUUUGGAUCUACUGAGCUUAAUUACUACACUCCAGGCAAGGAAACUCCCAUGUUCAACUCUCUUAGAUCGGGUUCACUGGGGGGGGUUUUUACAGAUCACAAUGUGAGCCCUGUGCUCACUGGGACCUCUAGGUGCUACUGUCAUUUAACCACCAUCCAAGCCAGCGUUCUUGUCCUCAAAACUGCCGUACAGGUUGUUUGUUCUGUCAAACUCUCCCUCAGAAAGUGUAGGGCAUUAUUCUACAUUCAUGGUCCAAACGGAGAGUUAUUAACAAGGCACUGUGACACCACCAUGGAAAGCUGUUGUGGUUCUGAGUCAGUGAUGGCCAGUAGCAUGCUGUAGCAGGAUGCAUGUAUUACAUGGUCGUUAUUAAGUCACAGAUAACAUCGGUCUCUCUGUAAAUUACCACUGGACACAAAUAUUUACGUGCUAUCUAUUUUUCCUCACUGGAGCUGUAUCUGCAACUUUUCUCAGCUGAGCACAUGUUACAAUGAUGCUGAAGCUGUGCAGAAAAUGUCACACACAAAGGGGAACCGGUAACAUUCAACAUUUUGCCACUGCCUGUUUGCAAAUUUCCUUCAGGCACAAAAGUAUUUUUCACACCAGCACAGGAGUCCCUCUUCCCUAUUCCUCUACGUGUCAAAUCUCAUUUGCUCUCAAACACCUCUGGUGAUGGAGCCCUGACAACUUCCCUGGAUAAAUUAUUCUGUUGCCCGAUUGACCUCUUCAUUACAAAUGCUUUGCCCUAAUGGAGAACUUGAAUUUUCCCUUUGCCAGUUUAAGGCUGUUAUCUUUGACACAGAAAAAUUCCACCCCUCCCCCUUUCCUAUUUAUGUUACCCACCAGCCUUUUGUUGCCUCUGGGCUAUAUCUUUGUCAAGUCCUCCAUGUCAAGGCAAUGACUGGCUAGAAGCACCUAGUCUGCAGCUUGUUUCAGGGAGGAAUUGCUCUGAUAGCUAUGGAAAGGAGUGUGGGGGGGUCUAACUGCUGUUAAGUCUAAACACAAAAAAUGGAAAGUGGUAAGGGCCGCACCUGGCCAGCUGCAGAAGGGAACUUUCCCUGCACAGAGUAAAGGAAGCUCAAGCAAUUCUCUCCCCAACCCUGGUACCAAGAUGGAACUAAGACAGGCUACAGCUGGGCCAGGGAACCAUGCAGCUGACACUUCUCAUGGCAUGACAAAAUAAAAUAUAUGGAACAGAAAAGGGUUACCCGCACCCGGAUCCUUGGACAUCAGUCUUAUUCCUAAAAAACGUUGGAAAGAAAUGUAUGCACAAUCCAUUAUUUUCUGGUAACCUUUUCAACUCCAUCUGUUUGUUUUCAUUUUGACAGACUCUCUCUCGGCUUCCAGCACAAUUUGCUUUGCUCUGGAAGUUUAGCACAGUGUCGCUUUUCCUGCUGACCUAUGUGUUCCCUGUUACUGCACUUCCGGAGUGCAAGCUGAUCUAAGAAGGACUUCACUUUGCUCCUGUAAUCAUUGUAUUACAGCCAGACUCCUUUAUAACUGAUAAACCCCUUGUCUCUUUGCAAUACAGCUGUGCUCCACAGAAGUGUGAGGUAGGGUGAUUCCAGGUUAGGUACCAGCCAGCCAAGCUGCCAAACCUUGGUAGCCAGGCUUAAGCAGGGAAGCAGAAAUGUCUCUUUGGAACUCAGCUCCUCGUGCUCUGUGAGCAGCCGACGGGAUAUGUUUUCCCUCCAGCCAGCCAUGCUGCUCAGCAGCUCUUGGGAAGCAUCCCAGCUGCUGCAAAUGACAACGUGACUCAAGAAGCAGAAUCGGGAGCUCUUUCCAGCUCCUAAUUCACUUCCUUCAGUGAGAUGAAAAGUUUAAAGGGGCCCAGCUGGCUUCAGAGUACAGCAGCUGGGCUGGGGGAGGGAUAGGGUAGAAGAAGCUACCACUUGCACUGCCUUUUCAGAUCAAUAUUACAUGGGUGUUGUCUUUAAACUAUUAGAAAUCGGGCGUGAGAUAUUUGCAUGGUCUUUCCUCACAUUGGCUUUGUUCCCCGCCCAUUGAACCCACUAGGCACAUGCCGGGCUCUAGGGAGCGGCUCAAGCCAGGAGGCAGUGAGCCAAACUCAACCCUAGUCGUGCCAUCAGGCAGAGAAAAUUGCUGUGGCUUUAUCACGUGCCUCACAAUGCUGGGAGUUUUCCUUUCCUCAAGCGCCUAGCUCCUGGAGUCAAGUGAACAUGCAAGACUCUCGUCUCCCUUGAAAAAAUGUUUCUUGCCCUCCUGGGCAUAGAGAAAGCAUGAUGCCCUCAGUGGGAAGACAAAUUAAAGGAACCCGGCGUUUACUAUUUAGAAAACUGGUAUGAAACAAGGAUGUUUGGGGGCUGACCCAGGAUUUCUGAUCGUGACCAGCGCUGCCACCAGCCAUUUGCCGAGGUGCACAGCAAGCCAUUUACAUGCUGCAUGAAGCUCGCCAGCUUGGAGAGUUUCUCAGAAAUAAAUGUAAGAGUGAGCCUGCUUUCCAAGUCCUUCCAAAGGGAGCUGCUUCUUCUCUCAUCUUUAGGAGCAGUAAUGCACGGGGGAGAAUGCUAAUUUCAUUCCAAGGGUGAAGCAGAGUGGCAGUCAGACACUGGAAGUUUAAACCAACAUUGAUUUUCCUAGUGGCCCUUUAAACCUGAGCUAGAUACAGUAGCAUAGGGCACUCCUGGGACAGUAUCACUGCCACUUAAUUGAUUUUGAUUUUAUUUUCACGGCAGCGGUGUAAUUACGAAAGCCUGCCGUAAUUAUUGAAACACAACUAGAAGUAUUUCAUUAUUAAAAUACCCCUAUGGCUUAUUAUUAAUUCAUUAAAUAAAUUUGGAUUAUAUCUCUCAAUAAUUAAUGUGCUGAAGUUUAUUCUGUGAACUCUCCCUUUUAUUAGAACUGUGUCAGUUGUUGGUUUGAAAGAAAAAAAAUCCAAGUAUUGGAAAAAUAUACAACCCUCUAAGUAUGAAAUAAAGUGAGACUGGGGAGACUUUGGUCUUGUUUGAAGCAGGUUAUCCAGGAAACUAUGUAACUGAGCUGACAUAAUCAUUCAAGCUGUGUCUGUGGUUGGGAAACAUUUCUCAAGCUGUCCAAAGAUGAAUGUGAACGGUAUUUCAGGGGACGCAGUCUGGGAUUGUGUCAGCGCCCAGCCUAGUAAGAAGUAGCUCCAGUGCGAGAGGCGGGGUUACCAGUCUGAAGGAGUCAAUAUUUAACUUUGGGCUUCAGUAAAUUGGGAGAAAAUGUGAAUGUUCUGGGGCCAGAUCAUGGGGCAGUUAGUGGGAGUUUUGCCCAAUGACUGAGUAAAAGUACCUGUCCAAGUAUGGUGCCCAGGAUCCGGACCAGGGUGCCUAUCUUCCCCUGGCUGUUUCACUUUCCCUUUUGUGCAUCCUCAGGUGAAGAGACCUGCAGAUGUCACCUGCCUCCGAACGGCCUGUAAUGAUGUGCUGCACAGUACACCAUAUUGCUCCGGGGCUGCCCAUGGAGCAUGGACAUCUUCCCUGCGAGUCACACACAUGGCGCAUCAGUGAGUACAGCUCACGACUCCGUGCUCCAAAAUGGCACCGCCAAGGUGGCUAGCGGGAAAUCCCCAGUAGAUGCCAGCAGCCGUAGCACUUACCUCCACUUUUCAGAUCUAAUGGCACUUCGGCAAGAGCUGGAAAGGGCUCUCAAAUAGCCAGGAUCAGCAGCACCGUUCUGUUUUAAGCGAAUCUCAAGAAGAGCGCUGGAAACCUGCCGGGAGCCUGUGCUUCCGAGAGCCUCAGACCCGUCUGAUAGGUCCAAGUAGUGGAGUGACUUUGGAUGCUUCUGUGCACCCAGUCUCCAGAAACUUUGGGGGCUUGCUCAGCACUCCUUGUCCCCAGGGAUUCCUCAAUCCACAGAACAUUAAGAAGGUGAAUGACACCAGGAGAUACAAAUAUAUAGCUGUCUCCCUUUACUGCUGCAGUUUGUAAAGGAAGCGUCCACCUUCGAUAGCAGCAAAGGGAAGGCCCUGAUCCAGCAUUUGCACCCAUUGGCUUUGCUGCCUCUCCUCCAGCUCCCUCUUCACUCCUGCAAGAUCCACUCCUCAGCAAGGGAGAGGCCUCCGAUGAUUCUCUGUGACCUCAGAGGCGAAAGCACUCAAGUUGCCCUUGAAGACAAAAAGAGAAAGUCUUGUCUGAGGUGAAGUCAGUAUCUAUCCAAUUUUCAGCUGCCGUCACAUCGAAAUGAGAAAUCUGAGGCAGAGCCAGGCACAAAUGGCUGAUAACAGACUUUCAGGUGAACCUCUUCACUUAUCACUUCGGGGGUCACCUCUGUUUCUAAAGACUUGUUUUCCUUAAAAAAAAGAUUGCUUAGGACAUUUAACGGUGUGGCGUUGUGAUAACAGAACCCAGCAAGGCUUUCGUUUGCUGUCUGGGCUUCUGCAGAGAUACAGAGGCUCCUAAUGCCGCAACCCCAGAAUUUGUUUCUAAAAUUACCUCAUGAACUGAAUCACCAAAAGCUGAAAAAUAUAAAAUUCUCUCUGCGGGGUUUUUCCUGUCCUUCCCCUUGUGUGGGCAUGCCAGGUCAGGAAAGGCACUCUGGCUCUGCCAGACAGGAGGAGAAGUGGCAUACAGAGAUUUGGAUGGGCCCAAUAGGGGUAAGCAAAUGGCCAAUGGAUCCUUGUACUAAUGAAUUUCCUUGCCGAAAAUCGAGGCUGAGCUGGGCCACAGCUGCCACUGAGGUCUGGAGUCUGCAUCUGCCUCAGCCACGCAGUGGCUUUUGGGGGAAAACUCAGAGUGGCUGCUCCAUCCUUGGCUCCAGGUCUGGGGUCAGGGUCCGCCCAUCUCCACCCCACCCUUCCCCCGUUGCUCCCCCAUUUGGGAUGAGACUGUUGUCCUCAAGAGGGCCAGAAGCAGAGAUGGGAAAGGGGAAAAAGCGUGAUGAAAUGGCUGUGAGGUGAUUUGUUUUGGAACAGGGCACUUGGCGCAUGCACAGACGGGCGCACAGAUUUGUUUAGCAAACAGUAACCUGUGUUUUGUGUGUGAAUAAAUAAUUAAUCUUAUUU